UGCGGCUGGAUCACCUCCUUU
rnacentral:rRNA from 13 species